rnacentral:rRNA from 1 species
CUUAAGGAUCAUCCGGGCAGGGUUAGUCGGCCCCUAAGACGAAGCAGAAAUGCGUAGCCGAUGGGAGACGGGUUAAUAUUCCCGUACCACUGACACAGAGCAGAGCGGGGACGGAGAAGGCUAGGGUAGCCACCUGAUGGAUGGUGGUUCAAUCCAGUAGGCUGUCUGCUUAGGAAUAAAACGAGCGGAUAAGGCCGAGAGGGUACGUCGAAGAGACUUCGGUCUUGAAGUACCUGAUGCCAUGCUUCCAAGAAAAGCCGCGGGCUGCGAUGAAGUGUUGGUGACCGUACCGCAAACCGACUCAGGUGGGCAGGUGGAGAGCACCGAGGCGCUAGGGAGAACACUGGUUAAGGAACUAGGCAAAUUAAUACCGUAACUUCGGGAUAAGGUAUGCCAGUUAGGUGAAGGGCCUGCGCCUGGAGCCAAGACUGGUCACAGCAAAGCGGCGGUAGCGACUGUUUACCAAAAACACAGGUCUCUGCAAAGUCGUAAGACGAUGUAUAGGGGCUGACGCCUGCCCGGUGCCGGAAGGUUAAGAGGAGCUGUCAGCGCAAGCAAAGCAGCGAAUUGAAGCCCCGGUAAACGGCGGCCGUAACUAUAACGGUCCUAAGGUAGCGAAAUUCCUUGUCGGGUAAGUUCCGACCUGCACGAAAGGCGUAACGACUUCCGCGCUGUCUCAACCAGUGGCCCUGCGAAAUUGACGUUGGGGUGAAGAUGCCCCAUACCCGCAGAAAGACGGAAAGACCCUGUGAACCUUUACUCUAGCUUGGCAGUGACAUUCGACAUUAUCUGUGUAGCAUAGGUGGGAGGCGUUGAGUUCGGCGCGCUAGCGUCGAAGGAGCCACCGUUGAAAUACCACCCUGAUGAUGUUGGCUGUCUAACUUCGAAAGAAGGACACUGCCUGGUGGGGAGUUUGACUGGGGCGGUCGCCUCCCAAACAGUAACGGAGGCGCGCGAUGGUUCUCUCAGCCUGAUCGGAAACCAGGCGUAGAGUGCAAAGGCAUAAGAGAGCUUGACUGCGAGACGGACACGUCGAGCAGGUUCGAAAGAAGGUCUUAGUGAUCCGGCGGUCCCAUAUGGAAGGGCCAUCGCUCAACGGAUAAAAGGUACUCCGGGGAUAACAGGCUUAUCACGCCCAAGAGUUCACAUCGACGGCGUGGUUUGGCACCUCGAUGUCGGCUCGUCGCAUCCUGGGGCUGGAGCAGGUCCCAAGGGUUUGGCUGUUCGCCAAUUAAAGCGGCACGCGAGCUGGGUUCAAAACGUCGUGAGACAGUUUGGUCCCUAUCUUCUGUGGGCGUUGGAGAGUUGAGAGGAUCUGUCCUUAGUACGAGAGGACCGGGAUGGACACACCUCUGGUGUUCCGGUUGUCGCGCCAGCGGCACUGCCGGGUAGCUAAGUGUGGACGGGAUAACCGCUGAAAGCAUCUAAGUGGGAAACCCCCCUCAAGAUUAGCUCUCCCCAAAGGACCCAGGUAGACUACCUGGUCGAUAGGCAGGACGUGUAAUCGCAGCAAUGCGUUCAGCGAACCUGUACUAAUUGUCCGUUCGGCUUGUUC